GAGAGAUGACAUUAGCAGAUUUAUUAGAAGAGAUAAAAAAUAAAAAUAAAUAAGCCCAUUAGUUGUUAAGAAUCUGUGGGGAUCAAGAAACCAGAUUUAUGGAAAAUCUUAUUUCUUUAACUGCUUGGAUGCCUGCUAGCUCUACUAUUUGGCAAAAGAGAAAAAAAGUGAUUGACACUUGAGAAUCGCAAGAUCAUUGAGCACCAAGUUCAAAGGCAUAUUCCUCCUCUGUACUCAAUUUUUUUAGCAACCAACCAGACAUUCAGCAACUGUACAGUAUAUCGCUUAGAAAUAAAAUUUGAGCCUUUGAUUCUAUCAAAUCCCAAAAAAAGAAAAUGCCAACCUCCAUAAACAUCAUCUGCUUGG
rnacentral:misc_RNA from 1 species